rnacentral:tRNA from 1 species
GAGGUGUUAGUAAAACAAUUACAUAACUUUGUCAAAGUUAAUUUAUAGGUUGAACCCCUUUAUACCUCU